rnacentral:tRNA from 1 species
AUUUAAAUAGUAUAAUUAUUAUAAUUGACUUCCAAUCAAUUGAUCUAUUUCAAUAGUUUAAAUA